AGGUAAUAAAAGUUAGAGUGGCCAUGUGGGUGAAGUCUUAUGAGUUGGGUUGUGUCUACUCCAUUCAGGAGAUUGUCUCAAAUAUUAAAUGGGUGAGUCAACAUCUUUACGGGUGAGCUCUGCUAAUUUGUGGUGCUGCUAAUUUGUUUCAGCUCUGCUGCUGUUGCUUUAUUUUCUUAAGCUUGCUGUUCUGCUCUGACUUUGUUGCUCUGGAUCUAUUAAUCUGUUGCUGUUGCUGUUACUUCAUUCAUGUGUGGUGCUGCUAAUUUGUGUGAGCUCUGCUACUGGUUCGUUCUGGCUGUUGCUGUAUUUUUCUUCAGCUUGCUGUUUUGAUCUGACUCUAUUGCUCUGGAUCUGUUAAUCUGUUGCUGUUGCUGUUACUGGGGCAGUUCAGUUGGGUCAUUUGCUUUGUUACUUUGGUGUUGUAAUCUGUUUGUUGUGUGGUGUUGUGGAGGUUGGUUUCUCAUCAACUUCCUGGGAUGCUAGCAUAUGAUUGGGCGUGCGUUUGGGUGCCAACUUAGUUGGGAUCCAUUUGUUUGCUCUUAUGCUUGUGCACCCUCUCUUGUUUUUGUUGUAAUCUUUUCCAUCAAUAAAGUUUUCUUCUUAUUUUAGGUUCUUUAAGUGUCUAGUGGCUAGUAUUUAGUUGCCUGCUCAUUGGCUUCUGGUUCUAUCAAAUACAUGUUUUUUAUAAGUAAAUAUUUCUGGUUUGAUUAAACAUAUCAUAACUUUACAUCGCUGUGAAUCACUUGAUUAUUCUGAAGGUGAACCUUAUUGUGAAUUCUGUUUUAUAUAUAUAUAUAUAUAAUUUGCUGUGGCAAUGUGAUUCUGCACCUUAUGCGCAAGUAGUCGCUUGUUUUCUACGAAUUGGGGGGAAUUAGUUGCUGCCUGAUGGACUUGCUUUUUGAUAUCAUUUUCUGCUAGGUCCUAUGUGAAGUUAUUAAUAGUGUUUGAAAUUGGAAGUAGUGGCAAACCUGGUUUGGUUUCCCCUAAUGUGUGAGUAUGCCAACAUAGGUUCUUUGAUAAUAAUAAUAAGGUUUACUUACCGUUGUACGAAAAAUUAAUGUUGUGGUAAAAGAUUGGCUCUAUUAGAUUUUGGAAAAAAGUGACUUUCUUGUAUGGGGUUCAGAGGUUGACUGUUAUUCCCGGAAGGUUUUUAAUUUUUUGCAGAAAAGAAAUUGGUGUUUGACAUGAAUUGAUGCUCUCUUUACCUUCCCUCACAAUGAUGGCUUUGUUAUCUUAUGGAGAGCUUGUUUCUAGUGGACAGGAUUUUUAGUGUCAUGUUCAUUGCCACCUCUAUGAAAUGGCCAGAAUAUAGGAAUUCAUUUGAGUUGCUGUAACAUUUUUGAGUUGCUAUUUCUAUUAGACCUUGAACUGCAUGUUGACUCUUAGAACUCUCUCUCUCCCCCUAUCCAUCUAUUGCAUGUUGACUCUUGGAACUAUCCAUCUACAUAUCUAUUUAUGAUCAAUCAACACGCAAUUUCUUGUCAUGAUACUCUCUUUCUCUCUAUCCAUCUAUAUAUAUAUAUAUGAUCAAUCGCUAUGCAGUUUCUUAUCAUGAUACUCUCUGGACUCAGUUGAAGAGUAGCAAUGCUGUUGUUAGAGGCAGUUUUGCAGGAAAACAUGGCGUGCUUUGUUAACUAUACAUACAAUGUUUCAUCCAUUCAUGAUAAGAUUCAUAUGUUCUUUGCUGAAAAAAUUGCUGAAGAAUGGGAUCCUUUAAUAACAUAUUAUUUUUUUGAAGUGCUGUGCUUCGUGUUACUGGAUUAGUGCUUAAUUGUUUGUAUUCUCUCUGAAGCUAAACUUUCUUCUUUUUUUACUAGUAUCUUAUUUCUGUACUUACCAAAAAAAGAAGUAUUUUAUUUCUGCAUUUGGUUAGCUCCACUUCUAUGUAAUUCUUGAACUUUAACUGCAAAAUGGAUUUACUUGUAUCUACUUCAGACUCAAACACUGGAGCAAGAAGCAUAUCCAGCAUUGGAUGAGUUGACUUCUAAAAUCAGCACACUUAACCUUGAGCGUGUUAGACAAAUAAAGAGUCGUCUCGUUGCAAUAUCUGGUCGUGUACAGAAGCAGUUUUUUCAAAGUGCUACUGACUAGCUGUCAAAGCCUCAUUGUGAAAGAGCUAAAAUAAUUAUUUCGAUAUAGGAGAAGGAAUGAAUCAAGCAAUUUCGAGUUUACAAGCAAGUGGAAAGUUGAAGAUGGACAAAACAUGGGUAUAUUUUCCAAGGUGGAACUCUUUUCUAAGGAUUUAGUAAUUGAAGUUGCCAACCAACAAUGUGUGCAGAGAGUUCUAAAAAGGCAGCAAAAAGAUAUAGGAAAGAGCAAUAAGCUAUAGUUGCUGCCACAAUGGACAAUAGAAGUGAUGGACCCAUUAGAAUUUCAGAUGUAGGUUCCAAUACUCGACAAAUUGAAUCACCAAAUGCAGAUGGAGUAGCUGACUCUAGUCAACAACCAAAGAAGAAAACUAGGGGGCCGUCAAAGUUAAAAAUGCAUGACAAAGGCAAACAAAAGCAUGAUGAGAUCGACUUCAAUGAAAGGAACCAAUCGAUAGGACAAGAAUCAGUGCACUUAUCAACCUUAGAAGAGAUCUUAGCUCGGGAGAUGGUGCUAAUUAAUAUAGAUUAUUGGUCUGAAGUUUUAGAUGAGAUUAAGGAUAAGUUAUGGGUUUGUGUGAAGGUAGUAUGUUUAUGCAGUUAAUUUUCAUACGACAAUUCAUUAUUUUCCCCUCUUUUGUAAUACUAAAUGUUUAGUUAUAUGAAAAUACAGCUUAGAUACAAAAUACAUGAUAUCCACAAGACACAUGCGAUGCAAAAGUUCGCAAAAUUGUGGCGCAAUUACAAGUCUGAACUAUUAUGAAAAGUAAGAACUCUCGUUACAGCAGGUAAAGGUCAUUUAGCAUGUAAUAUUGCCUUCACCAAACCUGAUAAGAUUGGUGGAUGAAUGGAAUGCAUUUGUGAAAAAUCGAUUUUCAAAAAGCUUCAUUGAAAAGAGUGAAAAAAUCAAAGAGAUGAGAGCAAAGCCGAAGGUGUUACACACGAUGAGUAGAAAAGGCUAUGCAUGGCUAGAGGAAGACAUUAAAAAUUAAAGCCAAGACCCAGAUUCCAUAUCUAGAGUGGAUGUUUAGAUCAAAGGACAUACAAGACAGAAGGGGAAACCUAUCAAUGAAGUGCUUCAGGAAGCAGUGAAUAAGGUUUAAGAGCUUCACAAGCCUUCUAUAGAAGAAGGGUCAAUGUAUAUCAAAGAUGAUGCAAUUAUUUAAGCGUUUGGUCCAAAGCGGCGUGGUAGUGUAAGAGGGCUUGGAUUUGGAGCAUUGCCAUCGAAAGUUGAUGCACAAGCAUACCAAAAUCAAAAUAUGAGACAACUAAAUGAAAAAUUACUGCUAUUAGAACAAGAACGUCGGGAGAUGAAAGCUGAAAUGUUAAAAGGAAAAAAGGCAAAAUGAGGAAAAAAAAUAAAAUAAAAAUGAACAAUGUCACAAUAUAUGAGGUUAAAUUUAUCUUCCUAUAAAAUUUAAUUGGUUUUUAACUUUGGUACUUCCCAUCUUAGAUAUAAGGAUAUUUCACAAAGUUUGUAAAAAUAAAAAAUUGAUUAAUACUUAUAGGAGUCAAGCAAAGGGGCAAAUGGACACUCAUAUGGAGAAACUCAGGGUGAGGAAAACGGUAGAGGUGAACAUAGGGUGCAUGGAGGUGGUGAACGUAGGAUGCACUCACAACAAAAUAUUUGGAUAAAUUUUGGUGAUGAAAACAAUGAAGACGAUGAAGAUAUUUGGUUGCAUGAUGCAAAUAAACUGAAAAUGGUGGAUCCUUGGACAAUGCCAAAUGCAAAUUGUUGAAUUGGGAUGGAACAAAGGUGGUGGUUGCGGAAGGCACAAUUGCAUCAACAGAUUCUAAAGCAUUGGUACAUCACGUGCUUCUUGGCCCUGGGUAUUGGAAGGAUAAAGGAGGUUGGAUAUACCAAAUGAGGCAAUGAAAGAAAAACAAAGCUGUAUGCAAAAGCCUGAAUUAAACUUGCUGUUCAGAAUUGAUGGAUACAUUAUCCGUCUCACCAUACACUGUUUUGUUUGAGGAACUUGAAUGAAAUCCAAAGACUACCGUAAAUUUCUCUCCAUUCUCAUUACGGCCUCUUUUGGUACUGGUGAAGUUAAACGGACAUUACGGCCUCUUUUGGUACUCGGCUUACAAGCUAGUUAUUGGCUUGAAAAGCCCACAAAUAAGCUAGUUCUUAAAGAAGCUAUUUCAUUUGGUAUAUUUUUGGUUUU